rnacentral:rRNA from 1 species
CAGUAGCCGCGGUAAUACGUAGGGCGCAAGCGUUAUCCGGAAUUAUUGGGCGUAAAGAGCUCGUAGGCGGUUUGUCGCGUCUGCCGUGAAAGUCCGGGGCUCAACCCCGGAUCUGCGGUGGGUACGGGCAGACUAGAGUGAUGUAGGGGAGACUGGAAUUCCUGGUGUAGCGGUGAAAUGCGCAGAUAUCAGGAGGAACACCGAUGGCGAAGGCAGGUCUCUGGGCAUUAACUGACGCUGAGGAGCGAAAGCAUGGGGAGCGAACAGGAUUAGAUACCCCAGUAGUCCCUGUCUCUUAUAC